GGAUAUAGCUCAGUUGGUAGAGUGCUUUCCUUGCAUACAGAAGGUCCUGGGUUCAAUCUCCAGUACCA
rnacentral:tRNA from 1 species